rnacentral:tRNA from 1 species
GCCGCCGUAGCUCAAUGGGUAGAGCAGCGGGCUUUUAACCCGAGCGUUGCAGGUUCGCGUCCUGCCGGCGGCA